AACGUAGGUGGCAAGCGUUAUCCGGAUUUACUGGGCGUAAAGGGUGUGCAGGCGGGUCACUAAGUGGUGUAUGAAAUCGCUCGGCUCAACCGGGCGGGGUUAUGCCAGACUGGUGGUCUAGAGGACGAGAGAGGGACAUGGAAUUCCGGGUGUAGUGGUGAAAUGCGUAGAGAUCCGGAGGAACCCCAGAGGCGAAGGCGGUGUCCUGGCUCGUACCUGACGCUCAUCCACGAAAGCAUGGGGAGCGAACGGG
rnacentral:rRNA from 1 species